CACUUGUCGUGAUCAUACGAUGUCCCGAAAAGUAUAAAUAGGUGAUGAGUUCACUUGAUACUUCACUUGCAUUCUAAAUUCUGAAGCUCUCUGAUCAACCUCAGGCUUUCUAAUGAUCCAUAAUCAUUUAGGAGCCCAGUAAAAGCUAUCUGUACUUGCUUGGUGGUAUACGGCUGGGAUUGAAUUUAUAUUUAGCUCAGGUUAAGUGCAGGUACUACUCGUAAUAGGCUGACUGUCUUCUAGCGUCCACAAUAAGUCUCGCAAGCUUGGAUGCCUUAAAGUCUGUUGUACAAAUGAUUCAUUUUAUUUUUGAUCCGCCUGUGGAUCCUUUACAUUCCGUUUGUA
rnacentral:lncRNA from 1 species